UGCGGCGGCUUGCUCCGAUGGCCGCGGUGUCCUGCUUAUCCAGAGAAACAGGGCAUGAGGGAGAGAGGAAAGAGAUGAAAAAGGAGAAGGAGCAGGGGCGCAAGGUGAGGGAGAGGGAUCUGGCGGGUGGUGCGGGGGGCUUCGUGGCGGCGACGUCCUUCUCAUCCAGAGAAAGGGAGAGACAGGGCGUGAGGGAGAUAGGAAAGAGAGGAAGAAAGGAGAAGGAGAGGGGGGCGCAAGGUGAGGGAGAUGGUCGCCGGCGGUGGCGCCUCCGGUGACCGGCCGGCGGCAGGACCGAUGGUGUCUGGAGUUUUGGACACCUGAGCGAGCUACCCUGCUGCUGCUAAUUCUUCUCUCCCCACGCCUCUGCUGCUGCUCCUUCUACUCCUCAGAUGCCCAUGCUUGCUCUCAAACAAUCAUUGUUGAAGGACUGAAGGGCAUGAUUUCUGGACCACAGAUGAUGCAUUUUAUUGGCAGGCACAAUCAAGGGCCCAUCAUCUUUCUGCUAUAGGUUCAACACAAACAACAGCUAUCUUGUUGAGAUUCAAUUGCUAUUCGGUGGAGAGCAGCCACAAAAAGUUCCUCAAUUGAUGCACAGUGGCCACCGAAAACAGAUCUCGCUUUCAAUCUCUAAUUGAUUCUCAGCUACAGAGUGGCAUGUAUCUAUAGACUUGCUAAUGUGAUGGCUAAUGCAUGUGUAUUAAUUCAUGAAUUAGCAAAAUAUUUCCCGUGAGAUGUGCUAAUAUACAAAUUUGAUGUUCACAGUGCCCUCCACUUUUUUUUUGUUAUGCCUAUAACAGAUGACUUAUUUUCAAUUUUUAAAUAGAAAAGCACAGUAUGGUUGCUCUUAUAUACAGCUCAUAAAAAGGAAUUACAAAUAAGAAGAGUGAUGUGUUCUCCUCAAAACAAAAUUGCUGAAAUUCACAUGCAUGGUGGCGCCAUACAGCGAGCGCAUGGUGGCAGAGUUCACAAGCUAGAUCUCUGACUGGCGUAAUGGCUUGUCCUGAUGCAGAGAAGGACGGGGUUCAAGUUGUUGGGCCGGUGGCAGGGGCAGCAUGAUGUUUUCGUCAGGUAACAACCUAGCCAUCGACUCAAGAUUUAACUGAACCAAUUCCUUUAAUUCAAGCUCCAAAUCGUUGUUAUUUGAUUCACUAAUUGGUUGCUGGCAACAACUAAUUGGACAUAUAAUUGUUGAUUUAUGUACAAACAAUAUCUUCAGUUGUUUUCAGAUCUUCAAUAAGGAUCAUCAAGCCCUCUGCUUUUUAUAUGCAGAAUAGAUAUUGUAAUUGUGCCUCCAUUACGUCUAAAAGUCAGAUAUCGGAAAAAUGUCAUUGGCAUAUCUCUGUCACGAUGGAGGAUUGGUUAGACAGAAAAAGGACCUCUGGUUAUGUAUGACAUGAUGCGAGGCACAUAUCUCUGAAUGAAGCGCAACAAGAAUUGACAUCCUCUAAUGCUAACUGUUGAGCAUUCUUCUCUGAAGUAUCAGGUCAGUAUCCCAUGUGCCCCCUAUUCAUCUGUCAUCGCUGCAUAAAAAUUUAAUGCAGUUUUUAAGCCUAUGUUUAAGGGUAGCUAAAUCUCUAUGGACCAACCAUAUUAUCUUUUUGAGAUAAGAAAUCAACCUUCAUCAUGUACUUAUGUUGUAACUUCUCCCAUCUUUUGUGCUAUUAUCUAAAAGAGGUGUGGAUUGGAAUCAGUUUUUUUUGCUGCACCCCCAUUCCGACGAGGUCACACACACAUACCACUGGGAAUCCCACGAACCCUAUGUUCGAGCGCGAGCGACGGCAAUAGCAUCUGCAAGCACUUGACCAACACGCUACCCGGGUGUGGUAUCCACUAUUGAGGCCAAGCAACUUAGCUCGGUCAUCCUUAAGUGUGUUUGUGUCCACCACCUGAUGAAGAACGGGAGAAGAUUGCUGACUUUGUGCCUAAUGAUGGUUGCCUGAACUUCGUAGAGCAAAUUGACGAGGUGUUGAUUGCUGAAUUUGGUCUUAAGAGGCACGUCGUGGGAGAUAUCCCUUGUGGCAGGUUCAAAGUUGUGAUGGUAUCUGGUGUCUCCCAGCGAGAUUUGAUCCUUCUCUUAACAGUUACUAUUAAGAACAAAUUUAUGUUUCCAGCAAAAAAGUUGGCCGGCCCCAGCAAAAAAAAAGAACAGUUCCAGCAAAAAAAAGAUCGCCGCCGUGGUCACAGGUGUCAACAAGCAGUCUUCGGAAUCAUCAAUAAGCCAACAGCGAGAAAUAAGUUCAAGAAUUGAGUUCCCUUAACAGGGAAAUAAGGAAGGGAAGAAACAAAUAGGGAACAAUCAGAUGAAGCAUCAAGGAAAAUGGAUUGAACAAUCAGAUGAAGCAUCAAGGAAAAUGGAUUGAACAAUCAGAUGAAGCAUCCAGCUCGAGGAGAAGCAUGGUCUGCAAGGAGACCAAUCAUCUUGAGGUGGUUCUUUCAGCUACUGCAUGUUCCAUUACGGAGAAGGGUACUUAGUCGAUCUUAGGAGCCAGACUCUGCUUUCCUUGCAGGGAGAAUUUCAAUAAAUGGUACUAUUACUCUCCCAACAAUUCUUUUAUCACUACAAAAUGUGUAGGAACCUUAUUUUUCUUAAGUGGCAUAAUGUGAUUUCGUAAGUGUUGUGUUGUACCACUUUAGAGUAAAAGAAUAAUUAUGUAUGAAGAAUAAUAUUACCGAGUCAGGCAGAAUUUGACCUUAGUU